UCAUUUUCUCCACAAAGGCAUCUUCUGCAUUUCUGUUUAUCUUUGUAUGUUUUUAAUCUUCUAUUUAAUCUUUAUAUUCUAUUAACUUUAUGAUUAUUAUUUGUUUGAAGUAAAUUAAAGGAAUACAAAUGUGUCUUUCUACAAAAUGAAACAAGUCAUUCCAAAUCAAAUAUUUAAAGAAAAGGUUUUGCUUAUGCACCAUCCUAUGUCAAGCAUAGGAAACCAAUGUCCCACCUCAAUGCAUAAACAGGUUUUCCACACGAGACAUAAGCAUUAAAAGAAAACAAGGUCACUUGUCACUCCUAAACAUCACAACUUUUUGAAGGGUAUUGUUGACCAGAUUUACUGUAUUUUAAUUAUAUUAAGGUUAAACACAGCACUAAACUUUAUCUGUAAGAGACAGAAUAUAUGAUUUUAUUACUAAAGAUAUCAUUUACAAAGCAAAAUAGAGUGAAACAGUUCCUUAGGGAUUGCAGAAACAGA